rnacentral:rRNA from 1 species
UCGAGAAUCUUCGGCAAUGGGCGCAAGCCUGACCGAGCGACGCCGCGUGGAGGACGAAGGCCUUCGGGUUGUAAACUCCUGUCGAGGGGGAAGAAGGCCCCGCGAGGGGCUUGACUGAUCCCUGGAGGAAGCACGGGCUAAGUUCGUGCCAGCAGCCGCGGUAAGACGAACCGUGCGAACGUUAUUCGGAAUCACUGGGCUUAAAGCGCGUGUAGGCGGGAGGGCACGUCCGUCGCUGAAAUCCCCCGGCUCAACCGGGGAACGGGCGCGGAUACGACCUUCCUGGAGGGGCGUAGGGGGACCUGGAACUUCCGGUGGAGCGGUGAAAUGCGUUGAGAUCGGAAGGAACGCCCGUGGCGAAAGCGAGGUCCUGGACGCCUACUGACGCUGAGACGCGAAAGCCAGGGGAGCGAACG